ensembl:lncRNA
CCUGGACUUCCCACAGCAUGGCAGUAUCAGGUUGCUUACAUAUCUGACAGUGGUUUCUUGAUGUACGAGUAACAGGGAAUAGAAGCUGUAAGGCCAGUGAAAGUGUCCGCUUCAACUAGCACAUGAUCAUUUUGGUCGUAUUCCACUGAGCAGAGCAAUCGCAAAGUCCACCCAGAUACAAGGGAACAGAGAAGUGGAAUUUACUAUCUGUGGCAAAGUGACAUAGUAGCAUCGCAGAGCAACAUGUGCGACUGGAGAUGUUGUGAAGGCCAUCUCUAAAAAGCAUGAUCUCUCAUCUUUGAAAUUGAAAUGAAUGCUUCUUUGAAGGUUCUUUUGUGUUUUAAAACCAAGGAAUAAAGAAGAGAAUAUCAGUGGUACAAUUUAGUAGGUUUGUGGUCAGUUGAUGGAUGGCCUUAGCUGACAAUGUCCUUUGGACGUACCUGUGGCAUCUUCCACGGAGGUCUAGUUAUGGAGCAGCCGGCCAGCAGGAAGCUACCAGCUCACUGUCUAAGCACCACGAGUGAAGAAAGUCCUGGAUGGGGACUGGGAGGGAAUCGUCAGUCCCAGGACUUGCCUCUCUCUGCUCCAUUCUGUCAAAAUGUAGUGAAACAGCGGGGAUCCACCUUCCACUCCACACAGCUGAGUAUCUUCCUUGAAGAUGAAAGAACAA